AGGAAUAUUGGUCAAUGGACGAGAGUCUGAACCAGCCAAGUAGCGUGAAGGAUGACUGCCCUAUGGGUUGUAAACUUCUUUUAUACGGGAAUAAAGUGAGGCACGUGUGCCUUUUUGUAUGUACCGUAUGAAUAAGGAUCGGCUAACUCCGUGCCAGCAGCCGCGGUAAUACGGAGGAUCCGAGCGUUAUCCGGAUUUAUUGGGUUUAAAGGGAGCGUAGGCGGACGCUUAAGUCAGUUGUGAAAGUUUGCGGCUCAACCGUAAAAUUGCAGUUGAUACUGGGUGUCUUGAGUACAGUAGAGGCAGGCGGAAUUCGUGGUGUAGCGGUGAAAUGCUUAGAUAUCACGAAGAACCCCGAUUGCGAAGGCAGCUUGCUAAACUGUAACUGACGUUCAUGCUCGAAAGUGUGGGUAUCAAACAGGAUUAGAUACCCUGGUAGUCCACACGGUAAACGAUGGAUACUCGCUGUUGGCGAUAUACUGUCAGCGGCCAAGCGAAAGCAUUAAGUAUCCCACCUGGGGAGUACGCCGGCAACGGUGAAACUCAAAGGAAUUGACGGGGGCCCGCACAAGCGGUGGAGUAUGUGGUUUAAUUCGAUGAUACGCGAGGAACCUUACCCGGGCUUAAAUUGCAGACGAAUUACGAGGAAACUUGUAAGCCGCAAGGCGUCUGUGAAGGUGCUGCAUGGUUGUCGUCAGCUCGUGCCGUGAGGUGUCGGCUUAAGUGCCAUAACGAGCGCAACCCUCGUGGUCAGUUACUAACAGGUUAAGCUGAGGACUCUGGCCAGACUGCCAUCGUAAGAUGUGAGGAAGGUGGGGAUGACGUCAAAUCAGCACGGCCCUUACGUCCGGGGCUACACACGUGUUACAAUGGGAGGUACAGAAGGCAGCUACCCGGCGACGGGAUGCCAAUCCCCAAAACCUCUCUCAGUUCGGACUGGAGUCUGCAACCCGACUCCACGAAGCUGGAUUCGCUAGUAAUCGCGCAUCAGCCACGGCGCGGUGAAUACGUUCCCG
rnacentral:rRNA from 1 species